GAUGACUGGCAAAUGAGAGCAAGCCUGUUUAAUAUUAAGAUUAUGACGUAAAUUGACAAAAGCCCCAGCAUUCCAAGUCCUAGUUGCUAGGCUCCUUCUCCUUGCUCCCAUCUGAGUAUAAUGAUGUAUUGUCAGCCUUAGCUGAGGUACAAAAGGGUUAUUAGACUUUUGAGUCCAUCUGCUACCCAUGCAAAGGAAAUAGUCAAACUAACACUGCCUGCUCUUUUCCUUGGUUUCUUGCCACCUUAAUUAUGGUUCAUCUGAGUUAUGUGUGUACUUGCUGCCUUGAGUAGAACAUUUUCCAGGACUGUAAGAAAGCAGAGUGAAAGCUCAGAUCAGUAGUCAGUCCUGUUUUCUGCUGGGAUAAACCUUGUGGAAGAUCUCUUCAUGCACGAAGUGACACAGUCAAUUUGAAACUCAUUAAGGUUACUAUACCACAAAAAUUGCUGCUCUAAGAAUAUGCCAAGUGCCUUCAGAAAAGAUGAAGAAAAUGAAGUACAACAAAAUCAAGUUCUUCGGCACAGGCCUCCAGGCACCAAGAGAUUUGGGACUAGCAUACAGAUCCACCACUCCACAAACUUACCUUUAUCACAGUUACAUAUUAAGAAUUUUAUAUUUGUACAUCUUAAUGCACCUUGUUUUGUAGGGCUGAUUGGAGUUAAGACUUUUUUUGCCCUCUGGCGACAUUGUAACUGUGAAAGCAAUGGACGAAUAAAGGAGUCGUUAU